rnacentral:rRNA from 1 species
GACGAACGCUGGCGGCGUGCUUAAUACAUGCAAGUCGAGCGAGGUUACUGUUUUGGAUCCCUUCGGGUGAAGAAGCUUUAACCUAGCGGCGGACGGGUGAGUAACGCGUGGGUAACCUACCCCAAAGUCCGGGAUAACAGCGGGAAACCGCUGCUAAUACCGGAUGCCUUUUACCUUGGGGCAUCUUGAGGUAAAGAAAGGCAACGCUUUGGGAUGGGCCCGCGUCCCAUUAGCUAGUUGGUGAGGUAACGGCUCACCAAGGCGACGAUGGGUAGCCGGCCUGAGAGGGUGGACGGCCACACUGGGACUGAGACACGGCCCAGACUCCUACGGGAGGCAGCAGUAGGGAAUAUUGCGCAAUGGACGGAAGUCUGAACGCAAGCGACGCCGCGUGAGCGAUGAAGGUCUUCGGAUCGUAAAAGCUCUGUCCUUGGGGAAGAAGGCGAAAAGCUUGACGGGUACCCAAGAAGAAAAGCCCCGGCUAACUAACGUGCCAGCAGCCGGGUAAAAGUACUCUAU